GUGCUCGCUUCAGCAGCACAUGUACUAAAACUGGAACCAGAGGGAGAUUAGCAUGGCCCCUGAACAAGGAUGAUGUGCAAAUUUGUUAAACACUCCAUUAUUAA
rnacentral:snRNA from 1 species